AGUCUUACUGCAUUAGGCACUUCUUAUCUAUGGUGUAAUGAACUGACCCGUGUCGGAGAAGAGACCACGAUGAUUUAACUGCAUGAGUACUUUGUUGGUCAAAACCUCGACCAACAUCCAUGAUGGCUUUCAAUGUUUGUUGCCGAGGGGUCAUGGUGGUAAUUUUCUUCAUCAUUUUGGUGGCGCCAUCGCUCGGAAGGGCUGAUGACGUCAGCAACAGCAACAAGGACAAUCAGCACGAUCACAACGACAGGAAAGAACAAGCCAGUGACGCACGGAUUGACGUACUACUGAGCAUCUUAGAAAACGUGUCGGCAUUUUAUGAGAAAACCCCGAAGCCGGAUUUUCCUGAAGAUGGAGACCCGCUUGGAGCUUACGACCCAAUGAGAGCAUCAGCAGAAAUCGGAGAGGAUAAAGAUGAAAAAGUAGCGAAACCGGAUACAAAGAUAGAAACGGUUGUGAGGCAAAGAAGGAGGUUAUAUUGAUGCCAUUCAAUCAUAUGUCGCACGAUGGCGCUUUUACACUGUCUAGAACGGAAAGACCUGUUAUUCUGUCUGUGUAUUUUAACGACACCAAGAUAUUGAGUCCGCCAGCGACCACUGAGCAAAUUUGGUACACAAAGAUUGAUAUCUAUUUACGUUGUGUCUGUUUUGUCUUUUAAAUCAUAUUCAAACAUCUGAGUAUCGUAUUCUAAUUAUAAAAUCCAAUCUUGGUCGCUGUACCGGGUCACUCAGCGAUCACUGUAUAGUAGAAAAGUGGGAUUUUAAAUAAAGUGCAACAGCUUAA